GCCUUCGUGGUGUAGUGGUCAGCACGCUCGGCGCGUAUUCAAGAGGUUCGUGGUUCAAAUCCUGGUAAGGGCA
rnacentral:tRNA from 1 species